rnacentral:rRNA from 1 species
AUACGUAGGGGGCGAGCGUUGUCCGGAAUGACUGGGCGUAAAGGGCGUGUAGGCGGCCGAUUAAGUCUGGAGUGAAAGUCCCGCUUUCAAGGUGGGAAUUGCUUUGGAGACUGGUUGGCUUGAGUGCGGAAGAGGUAAGUGGAAUUCCCAGUGUAGCGGUGAAAUGCGUAGAGAUUGGGAGGAACACCAGUGGCGAAGGCGACUUACUGGGCCGUAACUGACGCUGAGGCGCGAAAGCGUGGGGAGCGAACAGGAUUAGAUACCCUGGUAGUCCACGCGGUAAACGAUGAAUGCUAGGUGUUGCGGGUAUCGACCCCUGCAGUGCCGGAGUAAACACAAUAAGCAUUCCGCCUGGGGAGUACGGCCGCAAGGUUGAAACUCAAAUGAAUUGACGGGG